UACCAGCACCCCGAGUGGUCGGGACGAUUAUUGGGCCUAAAGCAUCCGUAGCCGGUCCUACAAGUCUUCCGUUAAAUCCACCUGCUCAACAGAUGGGCUGCGGAAGAUACUAUAGGGCUAGGAGGCGGGAGAGGCAAGCGGUACUCAGUGGGUAGGGGUAAAAUCCUCUGAUCCAUUGAAGACCACCAGUGGCGAAGGCGGCUUGCCAGAACGCGCUCGACGGUGAGGGACGGAAGCUGGGGGAGCAAACCGG
rnacentral:rRNA from 1 species